CUAAGAGAUUAGAGGUUCCCUUCGGGGACAGAAUGACAGGUGGUGCAUGGUUGUCGUCAGCUCGUGUCGUGAGAUGUUGGGUUAAGUCCCGCAACGAGCGCAACCCUUAUUACUAGUUGCCAGCAUUAAGUUGGGCACUCUAGUGAGACUGCCGGUGACAAACCGGAGGAAGGUGGGGACGACGUCAAAUCAUCAUGCCCCUUAUGACCUGGGCUACACACGUGCUACAAUGGAUGGUACAACGAGUCGCGAGACCGCGAGGUUAAGCUAAUCUCUUAAAACCAUUCUCAGUUCGGACUGUAGGCUGCAACUCGCCUACACGAAGUCGGAAUCGCUAGUAAUCGCGGAUCAGCAUGCCGCGGUGAAUACG
rnacentral:rRNA from 1 species